UAGUAAUACUGAGCGCCACUGUUGUGAUCUGUGGGAAUUGGUCUAUUUCCCGCCUUAAUGGAGCUUACAGUCUAGUGUGGGACCUGAAUGACCAAGCCAGCCGUUACAGAGAAGGCGGAGCCUAGUCUCAGAUGUCAGGCCCCUCACAAGAAUCUGGAGGUGAUGCUCAGCCUCUGAAUGCUGGGAUUACAGAGUCCCUUGGCUUUUGCCCCAGAUUGCCUCUGUCAGAGACUAUAAAAAUCCUAUGAAACUUGGCAGAAUCAGAAAGAGGUGAGAACAACUUUCUGGGAAUUACUGGUAAGAGAAAACGCUCAGCAUGGAGGAGUAUCAGAGAAGAUGUUUAAUCAAGACGUCCCCGGAGCUCCAGGGAAAUGCAACGUGAGUCACCACGGGAAAUAGCAGUGUAUGCGGGGAAUGUGUAAAACUGCUCUCAGAAAUU
rnacentral:lncRNA from 1 species